UCGCCUACGGGAGGCAGCAGUGGGGAAUAUUGGGCAAUGGGCGCAAGCCUGACCCAGCAACGCCGCGUGAAGGAAGAAGGCUUUCGGGUUGUAAACUUCUUUUCUCAGGGACGAAGCAAGUGACGGUACCUGAGGAAUAAGCCACGGCUAACUACGUGCCAGCAGCCGCGGUAAUACGUAGGUGGCAAGCGUUAUCCGGAUUUACUGGGUGUAAAGGGCGUGUAGGCGGGGACGCAAGUCAGAUGUGAAAACCACGGGCUCAACCUGUGGCCUGCAUUUGAAACUGUUUCCCUUGAGUGUCGGAG
rnacentral:rRNA from 1 species